UCGGAUAUGGUGUAACGGCUAACAUUGCCGCCUCUCAUUAACCAAGCAUUAGGAUAGCGCGGCAGCUCGGGGUUCGAUUUCCCGUAUCCGAA